rnacentral:piRNA from 1 species
UGCACGAAGCACAAGGACUGACGUGUCAGC